rnacentral:rRNA from 1 species
GACGAACGCUGGCGGCGUGCUUAACACAUGCAAGUCGAACGCUGAAGACCUGGCUUUUGUUGGGUUGGAUGAGUGGCGAACGGGUGAGUAACACGUGAGUAACCUGCCCCCUUCUUUGGGAUAACGCCCGGAAACGGGUGCUAAUACUGGAUAUUCACUGGCCUUCGCAUGGGGGUUGGUGGAAAGGUUUUUUCUGGUGGGGGAUGGGCUCGCGGCCUAUCAGCUUGUUGGUGGGGUGAUGGCCUACCAAGGCUUUGACGGGUAGCCGGCCUGAGAGGGUGACCGGUCACAUUGGGACUGAGAUACGGCCCAGACUCCUACGGGAGGCAGCAGUGGGGAAUAUUGCACAAUGGGCGAAAGCCUGAUGCAGCGACGCCGCGUGAGGGAUGGAGGCCUUCGGGUUGUAAACCUCUUUCGCUCAUGGUCAAGCCGCAACAUUGGUUGUGGUGAGGGUAGUGGGUAAAGAAGCGCCGGCUAACUACGUGCCAGCAGCCGCGGUAAUACGUAGGGCGCGAGCGUUGUCCGGAAUUAUUGGGCGUAAAGGGCUUGUAGGCGGUUGGUCGCGUCUGCCGUGAAAUCCUCUGGCUUAACUGGGGGCGUGCGGUGGGUACGGGCUGACUUGAGUGCGGUAGGGGAGACUGGAACUCCUGGUGUAGCGGUGGAAUGCGCAGAUAUCAGGAAGAACACCGGUGGCGAAGGCGGGUCUCUGGGCCGUUACUGACGCUGAGGAGCGAAAGCGUGGGGAGCGAACAGG